rnacentral:rRNA from 1 species
AACGCUGGCGGCGUGCUUAACACAUGCAAGUCGAACGAGAGGAGAAGGAAGCUUGCUUCUUUCAAAUCUAGUGGCAAACGGGUGAGUAACACGUAAACAAUCUGCCUUCAGGAUGGGGACAACAGACGGAAACGACUGCUAAUACCGAAUACGUUCCUUAGGUCGCAUGACUUGAGGAAGAAAGGGUGGCCUCUACUUGUAAGCUAUCGCCUGAAGAGGGGUUUGCGUCUGAUUAGGUAGUUGGUGAGGUAACGGCCCACCAAGCCGACGAUCAGUAGCCGGUCUGAGAGGAUGAACGGCCACACUGGAACUGAGACACGGUCCAGACUCCUACGGGAGGCAGCAGUGGGGAAUCUUCCGCAAUGGGCGCAAGCCUGACGGAGCAACGCCGCGUGAGUGAAGAAGGUUUCGACUCGUAAAGCUCUGUUGUCGGGGACGAAUGUGGAGGUUGUGAAUAACAGCUUCCAAUGACGGUACCUGACGAGGAAGCCACGGCUAACUACGUGCCAGCAGCCGCGGUAAUACGUAGGUGGCGAGCGUUGUCCGGAAUUAUUGGGCGUAAAGGGAGCGCAGGCGGGAGGUCAAGUCUAUCUUAAAAGUGCGGGGCUCAACCCCCGUGAGGGGAUGGAAACUGGUCUUCUUGAGUGCAGGAGAGGAAAGCGGAAUUCCUAGUGUAGCGGUGAAAUGCGUAGAUAUUAGGAGGAACACCAGUGGCGAAGGCGGCUUUCUGGACUGUAACUGACGCUGAGGCUCGAAAGCGUGGGGAGCGAACAGGAUUAGAUACCCUGGUAGUCCACGCCGUAAACGAUGAAUGCUAGGUGUAGGAGGUAUCGACCCCUCCUGUGCCGGAGUUAACGCAAUAAGCAUUCCGCCUGGGGAGUACGGCCGCAAGGCUGAAACUCAAAGGAAUUGACGGA